UUGAGUCUCGUAGAGGGGGGUAGAAUUCCAGGUGUAGCGGUGAAAUGCGUAGAGAUCUGGAGGAAUACCGGUGGCGAAGGCGGCCCCCUGGACGAAGACUGACGCUCAGGUGCGAAAGCGUGGGGAGCAAACAGGAUUAGAUACCCUGGUAGUCCACGCCGUAAACGAUGUCGACUUGGAGGUUGUGCCCUUGAGGCGUGGCUUCCGGAGCUAACGCGUUAAGUCGACCGCCUGGGGAGUACGGCCGCAAGGUUAAAACUCAAAUGAAUUGACGGGGGCCCGCACAAGCGGUGGAGCAUGUGGUUUAAUUCGAUGCAACGCGAAGAACCUUACCUGGUCUUGACAUCCACGGAAGUUUUCAGAGAUGAGAAUGUGCCUUCGGGAACCGUGAGACAGGUGCUGCAUGGCUGUCGUCAGCUCGUGUUGUGAAAUGUUGGGUUAAGUCCCGCAA
rnacentral:rRNA from 1 species